UACAGAGGGUGCGAGCGUUAAUCGGAAUUACUGGGCGUAAAGGGCGCGUAGGCGGUUAUAUGUGUGGGAUGUGAAAGCCCCGGGCUUAACCUGGGAAGUGCAUACCAAACUGUAUAGCUGGAGUAUAUGAGAGGGUAGUGGAAUUUCCGGUGUAGCGGUGAAAUGCGUAGAGAUCGGAAGGAACGCCGAUGGCGAAGGCAGCUACCUGGCAUAAUACUGACGCUGAGGCGCGAAAGCGUGGGGAGCAAAC
rnacentral:rRNA from 1 species